UUCAUGAGUCAGUCAUGUCAUUUCAAGGUCAAAGUCAUAGCUCAAGAUCAAAGGAAUACCCUUUUACAAUCCAUAACAGUGGCAGUGAACUUAACUGUCUUUCAGACUGCCUUGUAUAUAACAAAAUGUCAGGGACUUAUUGCAAUAUACAUGAAAAAUUGAGAUGGUGUUGUAUGUGACAUUAGUUGACAGACAUUUGCAGUUAUGAUAUUUAAUAAUUUCUAUGAUCAGUUUGUUUAUCAGUUGUACCAGUUUUCCAGUUCUGCCUGCAGAAUGUACUUUGGUACCUAGCCCAAGUGGCACAUUAUGCUGCAAGGAACCAAACUGUAAUUUUAGCUCCAUUAUUCGGAGAAUAGGGGUGCUUUUCUACUCGCCUCGGCAUCGGAAUGAGCUUUCUUGGUUAAAGUUUUUCAGCAGCCUUUGUUUUUCUUUGUUACUAUUGCUUAUAUAUUACUGAAAGUUCACAUUACAAUUAAUAGCAUUCAAACAAAGUGUGUGCAGGGGCUGGGCCCAUUAUACCCAAAGUGAAGGUCACCAAGGUGUUAUACUUGAGUUAUUCUUAAGGUUAAAGUUUUUUGGCAACCUUUGGUUUUCUGUCAUAUCUUUGUUACUAUUGCUUAUAUCUUACUGUAAGUUCACAUUAACAUUGUCAAGCAUACAAACAAAAUCUGUGUAGGGGCUGGGCCCAUUAUAUUUAAGGUCAAGGCCAUCACGAUGUUAUACUUAGGUUAGUUUUACUGCCAAAUCGCUGAAUAGUGGAGCACACGGUCUUAAAGACAGCUCUUGUUACCCAUGUUACCCAUACAGCCAGUGAUUUACACCACCAGCAUCACCACCUACAGAAUUAACAGUAUUUCCUUUAUCUUUACAACCAUCAGGAAUGACAAUUUCCCCAACACCGGCUGGUUCCACUGUUAGUAUGCAGUAGGGGUUUCAACACCUUCAGGAUCCACAUUCUUCCCACCAUCACUGUCAACUGUAUCAUCAAAACCAGAAUGCUGUCCAAAUACAAGAUCAAUUGGGAGCCUUAUUUCAGAGCCAUAGACCAUAGAUGCGGGUGUGACACCAAUGGCUUCAUGUACAGAACUACAAUGGGCCAUUAAACAUAAAGGUGUGCAGCAUUCCAGAUUGUUCUACUGCAGUGUACCAUGCAGAGAAAUGUGUCAGAUACAUGUUGUCUCUGUCCUGUCUGUGUCUUCAGUAAAACACCAACUCUAUUUUCUCCACUGGUAUCCCAGGCCCAACACCAAAUAGCUAUGCCAGCCCAAUUCCUAGAUAUUCCAGCUAAACACCUAGUUCAACAGCAAUACCAUCCUUAAGCCCAGCACCUACAGUGUGGGAAGCUCAUUGUUGGACCCAAAAUUGAAGCCCUGUCUGCAAAUAUAGGUUGCUGUGAGUAUAAGGGCUCCCAGUACAACCCCAAACUGGAUGCUACUUGGGAAGAUGGCUGUCGGUACAUCUGUACAUUCUGUACAUGCAUUGAUGAAGACAGUGCACAGUGCCAGGAAAAGUACCCAUGUUAUGUGAAUUCACAGCCAUACUGUAAGAUGGUUCAGAAUCCUGCCACCAAGUGCUGCAUGAAACCCUCGUGCAGUGUUUGUUCACAAACACCUACACCAAAGACAUAUACACCAGAUGUAUGUGUUUACGAAGAAGUACAUACCAAGAAGGACAAUUGUGGUAUGAUGGCUGUAACAGUGUUUGUCGGUGUGGCAAUUCCAACAAAAACACAUACACAUAUAUAGAUAAAGAUUUGCAAUGCAUGCUACUAUCCCACAAGGCUGUGUACUGGUUCCUGACCCAAAAGAUCCCUCGUGCUGCUAGGUACCAAGUUGUUUGAUCCCUCCGAAACAAACCAUUGGUAUAGUGGUUGCUCCUAAACCUACUGGAAUGG